ensembl:lncRNA
GAUCCACCCCCAAAGGGAAAUGCCAACAGAAGAGCUUCUAUUUCUUGAAAGGAAAAAUGGAUUCCUUUUAGAGUCUAAUAAGCAGGAAUCUGGGCAGCUCUGGCUCUAUCCUACUAUGCAUUGUGAUGUUGGGGUAAGAUUUAAACUAUCAAAAUCCUAAAAUCAUCAUCCCAGAAAGGCAAACCUGGGGUGAAGUGUGACUGUUUAUCUCUUUAACUUGAAGACAUUUCAAGACACCUUCAUCCAUAUUUUCUUUUCUUUUUAAAUCCAUAUUUUCUUAAUCCCCAUAGUUUUCUUCCUCCUGGAAGCUAGGACUAAAGGAGACACUCUACUGGAAGAGUAACUACCCGGAGAGCGAAGGGACUGAGCAGGAACGAAGCGAAGAACUCGGGCCUGGCCAGGGAUGCUCCCGGUCUCUGCCUCCGGCGGGGAGCGCCCGGCAGAGCCGGACCAAGGCAGGAAGCAGGUUUCCAGCCGGAGCUGAGCCCGCUUCUUCCAAAGCCCUGUGGCUGCGCACCCCUGACGCUGCCUGAGUCCGGUCGGUGGCAGGUGCGGCGGGGGAGUCCCCGAAGGAGAAGGGGGCGGAGGGCAAAGGUCAAAGCCAGGCUUCCGGCGGGCCGGGGAGCCCACACCCAGGGCAGGAGGGAGGGGUUAGGGCGGGCCGGGGCCGAACUGAGCCCCCAAGGGCGGAACCGCGCCGACGGAGAGCAAACCCUCUGUUGUCUAAUCGAGAACCAGAUUAAGAGCCAAGGAGGAAAAAAAGGCAAGAAGGCGUUCUUCAGAUUGGAAGGAUCUAACUCAACACCCCAGUCUCCUGGCCAGUGGCCAAGGACACUGGUUCUUUUCAAGGCACCUUUCUACCUCUGGACCACCUCAGCCCUUGGAUUUAUGCGGUUGCUAGAAAGGUCUAGAAAGUCAAAGAUACAGAUACCCAUGCCGUCGAGUCUGAAGGCAGAAAGGGGUGCCCAGAUACUUCACUCAGUAACAUAGCAGACACUCGACCUUGAACACAGGUUUUCUACCGCUUGCGCCUUGGGGGCAGUCAACAAGGAGACAAACAGUUGGCAUAAGCUCCGAAAUUCCGAGUCUCCCCUGGCCCUCCCUUAAAUUUCCCUGACGCGCCAUUUCCCCUGAGCAGGCUCCCGGGUCAGUCACACACGCCUUGGUCAGCUUUGCGUCUACAGUCUGUCAUGGCCGGCUCUCUUUUCCCUGCAGGUCAGGAAGAGGCAUCCUGCAGCCAGUGAGGAAAUAGCCGGUUCAGAGUCCUCCACGGGGACAAGGACACAAUGUGAGCAGACUUCUAUUCGUUUUCAGGGUGAUGGGCCCAAGGGCCAGGGGCCCCAGACAAAUAAGGGGAGCGGGCUUGAAGGGUCCUGCACCUCCUGCCAGGGCAGGCCCACUGGAAGGAGGUGGGGAGCAAAUGCAGGGCUCCCACUGUGAAGCCAGGGCCUUGGGCAGGGCUGGGUGCCCGUGCCCAGUAAAGACAGAAGCAGAACAGAGUGUGAGAUGUGAGCCAGCUGAUGGCUUGACGCUGUCAGGACCUGGAGCAGGCAGAAAGAAGCCGGAUCUGCCUAUCUAGGAAAACUUUGCAGCCAGCAUCCAGGUUUGCUACAUCAGCCGCUUCACCCAAGUCACUGCCAGCUCAUAAAGUGCUUGCCAGACUCACUGGCUUUCCUCUCUACGAUGAUGCUGUUUUAUUAAACGUUGUUGAAGCUGGGGGAGGGCAGGGGGGGUCGCCGCAAGGUUGAGGGGAAGAAGCAGAGAGAGACAAGUCAGGGUGAAUUCCAUGUUACUGUUAUUUUCAAAAGGAGGCUUUCUCAGUUUUGCUUCCCUCAAGGCUGUCCCAAAAUUUGCUUAGGUGCAGGAUGGGUAGGCCCUGAUCAUAUGCAAGGUUGGAUUUAAAUGUACUGGAACUCUGUGUCUGUAUGUGUAUAGUCUUGAAGGAUCAAACAUACAGUUAACCCGCGUAAGUAUUCAUUAUAUCAGAGCAGAAACGUGGCCAACAGGUUCUAAGGAGGGCUGGUGUUCACAGUGUUUGGAGAUAUAUGUGAGAAGAUUGUGUUUUGCUUUAUGCAUACAUAUUUGCUUUGGCUGGUAAUCCUUCUGGAAGCCUGACCGUUUUGACUACGUCAGCGUGGAUCGCCUUGGGGGGUGGGAAGAAGUAUGCCAAGUUGCAAAGUGCGCUUAUGUUUUAAAAGGUGCUUCUCCCCAUGGCUGCCCUGCCAGGGGAUGGUAGGUUGUUUUCUGGAUACACUUCCUGUUUUUCCGGCUGACCCAAGUUCUCAGACAAUCCAGGGUGGGUCAGCAUCAGCUGGGCGGGGGGCGUCCCUGGGGGUCUCUGCACCUCAAGGUGGUGUCAUGGGUACAAGUUCUCCCCCAGGAGGGCCCAUCUGAGGGUCCCAGGCAAACAAAGCUGCCACUCCCAGGAGACCACUGCAGCCAGGCCCUGGGGCCUCCCUCCCCACUCCCCCCAGGACAGAUCAGGUCACCAAGUCCCCACCCACUGAUGCACCAGGUUCUCUCUGGGCCCACACUGAGCCAACAGGAUAAAAACCACCGCCUCCAGAUACCAACCUGGAUUAGACAGGCCUGGCCACAAAAGCCAGUGGAGAAAUUCAAGACCCUCUCCUCAAAAAUUCAGACAGGAGGGCCACCUGGAAGACGAACCUCAGGGACCCUCUGGGAUAGGGCUGCUUCUGGAAGCCCACUCCUGGGGUGGGGGCAGGGAGGGGUCCCACGAGCCGGUUGCUAACCUCUGAGCUGUGCACACUGGCCGGCUCCUGAGAACCUAAGCCGGAUCGUCAGUGACCCCUCGCCUCCCCCCCACCCCCCAUUUCCUGCGCUGGGAUCUCCCGCUGUUAGUCGAGCGUUUCCUGUGCCAGAGGGACUUCUGAAACCGCAAGCGGAAAUCGGGUGCCCGGCGGGGGAACGCAGAGGCGUUUCAGCGUCGCCUACGUUUCUGGCCCCUGGCAGCCAAGACCCCCGCGACCCGCCGGCUUCUCGGCCGGCGCCGCGACGUGUGGGGAACGACAAUUACACCCGAAAGGAAUCAACAACCACUCGCGGGGCCACGACUCGCAUCGCUCCGCACGCGCAGGUUCGGGCCCAGCUUUCAGCAACACCCACCCCAUCCGCUCCCGAUCGCUAAGCACUCGCUCGCCAUUUGUGGACUGCGAUGGAGCUGCGCUC